GUUUGUGUUGACGUUGACGUUUUCACAUUUUUAGGUUAGAAUUAUAAGAAUCUAUUUCAUAUUAAAAAGUAAUAAGAUUUAAUUACUGUAAAUCAAACAAAUAUCUAAUAAUCUACAUAGCGCUGUGUUGUGAAUACACAGUUUAUUUGCAAUAUUCAGCUAUAUUUUUAUUUCGAUAAACCAAUUUGAAAAUGGUUACCUCUCCACGUCAGAACGUGCAGUAGAACUGUUUGAUUAAAAAUUCAUACUACAUUGGAAAUUAAAACAAUGCAUUAAGAAGCUCAAAAAUUAAAGCCCAGCUCUCCCGAGGUAGCCCUGGAGCGAGAUAUAUUCCUUUACAGAGCUUAUUUGGCGCAGAAAAAGUUGCGUAUUGUUUUGGACGAGAUCAACCAGUCAUCGCCGAGUGCAUUGCAGCCUCUCAGGCUUUUGGCCGAAUACUUAUCAGCAACAUCUAACCAGACAAAACUUCUAGCAGCCCUCGAUGAGCGCAUGGAGAAAGGUCACCCAUCCAGUGACGGCCCCUUAGGCAACCAGGUUUGUUCACCUAUUAUCAUUCAAU